UAAGAGCUUUUAUUCUUGGUGACUGGAAUAUUCCAUGUGCUCAGUGAAUGAAUAAAUGAAUGAAUACAGAGAGCGAACUUUGUUAAAAGCCCUCUUGCUUAGCACGUCGCCAAGGACACUGUCAAGCCCUAAACCGUGACUGCGGGAGGCCGCUCGGCACACGGAAGGACAGUA